rnacentral:tRNA from 1 species
UAGGUGGUAGCAUAAAUAAUGCGCUUCAUUGAAAAUGAAGAAGAUGGCUAUGGUAGUCCUGCUUAU